rnacentral:rRNA from 1 species
GGAGGGUGCAAGCGUUAAUCGGAAUUACUGGGCGUAAAGCGCGCGUAGGCGGCUAAGUAAGUCGGAUGUGAAAGCCCUGGGCUCAACCUGGGAAUUGCAUUCGAUACUGCUUGACUAGAGUAUGGUAGAGGGAAGUGGAAUUUCCGGUGUAGCGGUGAAAUGCGUAGAUAUCGGAAGGAACACCAGUGGCGAAGGCGACUUCCUGGGCCAAUACUGACGCUGAGGUGCGAAAGCGUGGGGAGCAAACAGGGAUUAGAUACCCUGGUAGUCCACGCCGUAAACGAUGAGAACUAGAUGUUGGGAGGGUUACCUCUCGGUGUCGCAGCUAACGCGUUAAGUUCUCCGCCUGGGGAGUACGCCGGCAACGGUA